GGGAAUUUUCCGCAAUGGCGAAAGCCUGACGGAGCAAUGCCGCGUGGAGGUGGAAGGCCUACGGGUCGUCAACUUCUUUUCUCGGAGAAGAAACAAUGACGGUAUCUGAGGAAUAAGCAUCGGCUAACUCUGUGCCAG
rnacentral:rRNA from 1 species